rnacentral:rRNA from 1 species
GAUGAACGCUGGCGGCGUGCUUAACACAUGCAAGUCGAGCGGACAGACGAGGUGCUUGCUCGUCGCGCGUUAGCGACGGCCGGGUGAGUCACGCGUGGAUCACCUACCUAUGUGACUAGCAUAACUAAGGGAAGCCGGAUCCAACACCGGAUAAUAUAUUGAACCGCAUGGUUCAAUAGUCAGAGACCGAUUUGCUGUCACUUAUACAUGGUUACCCGCCGGAUUAGCUAGUUGGUAGGGUAACGGCUUACCAAGGCUACGCUGCGUAGACGACCUGAGAGGCUGAUCGGCCACACGGGAACGGAGACACGGUCAAGACUACUAAGGGAGGCAGCAGUAGGGAAUCUUGGGCAAUGGGCGCAAGCCUGACCCAGCCAUGCCGCGUGAGCGAGGAAGGUCUUCGGAUUGUAAACCGCUUUUAUUAGGGAAGAAAUAAUUUGGGAUUAUAUCUAGAGGGAAUGACGGUACCGGAUCAGUAAGCCCCGGCUAACUACGUG